CCCACCCGAAAUUUCCGCCCGUCACUUCUCACCCCACGCUCUCCUUCCCCUGCCCCGCCCGUCAAUCGCCAUCUCCUUCGCUGCCCCCGCUCCGCCGCACGUCCCACCACGCCUCGCUCCACCGCUCGCCGCGCCGCCGCCCUUGCACGUCCCUCCGCACGUUGAGGCCCGGAACGUCUGCCGGUCCGCCGGGCUCUUGCGCUGAGGCGCCGCCACGGAGUCCACCCAUCAAAGCCCUCCCGUCGCGCGACUCCCCUUACCCGCCGCCGACGCAGGAGCCGUGGAUCCGCGCCGUCCUGCUGCAGUGCCAGCCCUGCUAAUGCAUGAGCCACGGAUCCGCGCUGUCCCGCUGCCGUCCCGCCUGAGUGCCUGACCGAUGCGCACGCCACGGAUCCGCCGCCGCUUCGGCCUCCUCCUGCCCCACGACGGUCUCGGCACCCAGUGAUCGGCUCCCGAAUAGCGGCGCCGGAGUGGUGGCCCUGGUAGCAGUGGAGCUGUGGUGCGGGAUGGUGGUGGGAUCAUGCGUCACUGUGGUGGCGCGGCCAUGGGAUGCGUCACUAUGGGGGUGUUGGGCGGAUCCGAUCUGGUGAAGAUUAUCGAGCAACUCGGCAGAACAGGUCUGGGAUGUGCACACACAACUUUGGCGACGAUCUGUUGUUAACUGGAAUUGCACAUUGUUGCUAAACCUUGUUGCAGUUAUUACUGACUAUGAUUACGUCGUUGCACACACGAACGGAGAGCUAAUUGGAACUCAAAGUUUGAAAUCAUUUCUCGGAGAAGACAAGCUGAAGGAAUUUAUUAAUUUCACCCUUCAUUACAUUGCAGACUUGGAUAUCCCAAUUAAAAGGGGUACCUUCAUAGAGUUCCGAAGAGGAAUGAUUAAUGUUUCUCCGAUAGGAAGAAACUGUAGUCAAGAAUAACGUGAUGAAAAUUCGAGAAGUACGAUAAGGUAAUGAAUCCUUUACUAGGAUCAGUAACCUUUCUUAGUCGGAGGUGGAAAGUUAUCGAAGAUACAUGAACGGAAACAAGGUAUUUCCUGCAGGUGCAUAACAUUCGACUUAAAAUGGUAUCUGUGCUUCGUGAAAAGUUUGCUCACUUGAACUUGACAUUUUCUAUUGGAGGGUCAGAUUAGUUUUGAUGUGAAUAGCCUAGACUUUUAUGCAUAUUUCUUUUUUGACAAUAAUAAGAAGCAUGGUAUUUAAUACUGAUGCACUAAAAUAGUAAAAUUACAGGUAUUUCCCCAAGGUUGGGACAAAACGUACUGCUUGAGAUACUCUUGAGGAAUUUCAAGAAAUUCGUUUCUUUGGGGAUAAGACCUACAAGUUUAGAGCAAGACGCCAGAUAGCAUAGCUCUAGGCCAAGCCCUGCUGCCACAAUACAGCUCUUAGGCAUGAUUGACUCAGUUUCUAAUUUCAUAGCCCAAGUUAAUUCUAUAUAUAAUUUUUUCUAUGUAGAUGUUAUGUAGGGCUUAGGCAAGAUUGACCCAGUUUCUAAUUUCAAUGUCCAUUUAUUCCAUUUAUUGACCCUACUGCAGGUCCACUCUUAAUUCUUGGUAUGAACUUCAGUAAGGCUGAAAGACCAUGACAUGGAAUUUAGCAGUAGCAGAUUAUAUUUUACAUCACAAAGAGCAUUUGAGUAGCUGAAAGAAUCACCUUCAAUGGAGCUUGAAGCCACUCCUGACGAUGAAGUAUUCAGCUCAAAUGAUGAGAUGCAAGAGUUGUGGCCUCUGGGAGAAGUAGACCCAAAGAAAGCAAGGUUUCCUUGUUGCACUGUCUGGACUCCUCUCCUGUAGUUUCUUGGCUGGCGCGCUACAUUGGGCAUGUGGGGAUUGCCCGGGAGGAUGGAAUCGUCAUCGAAUUUGGUGAGUGUCGAUGAUCUUGCUUAUGGUUCGGCAGCAAGAUGCCUUCAGCCUGAUAGGAAGAAGUUGCUGAGUUGAAGAAUAAGGUCCAAACGAUUUCAAUGGCUGCAAAGGAUAGGACAGGAGGCAAUUGACAUGGGUAGCUUCAUGAAGCUGAUGAGGUUGGUGCUGGGAGACGGAUGUGCCAUUCGUGGUGAAGGUGAUGAAUUUCUCCGGCCUUGUCCAAAUUGCAUCUUGAUUCCAAGUUUCUGGGUCUUCUGUGCUGAGUUCCUCCUGGUGAUGUCCAAAUUGCAUCUUGAUUCCAAGAAUUGCCAAGAAUCUUAAAUGCUGCAUUUUCUGGUAUGAAGUAAACUAACAUUCCUUUGGCUUUGCUACUUUAAUUGACAGUCAACCCUCUUUUUGUAACUUUCUGUGCUUAUUCCAAGGAUCAAAUAUGCAGCAUAAUUAAGCAUGGGCUAAAGGUAAAUAUCCCGUCAUGUUACUAUUUCAGAAAUCACAAGAGAUGCUUGAUUCUUCUUGAGAUCUGUCAGUCAGUGUGUGGGCAAAUUCCACCAUUGCAUCGGAUGCAGAUUCCAUUCCAUUCAUGUCCUUACUGUUGUGGUCGGUGUGGUGAACUUGGCGCGUCAACUGUUUCUCAGUAUGUUAAUUCAGUAGUCAUUCCAUUAGUUCAUACUUGUGACGGUCUUGCUGACUCAAAUAUAUGAGGCAUUAGUAUCAUCCCCCUGCAAUGGUGAAAUUUGGGCUAUUCAGAAAAAUAUAUGCCCGUCCAUGAAAAUGUCUUAGAUUCAGAAUUUUGGAGUUACUGCCCACAUGUGCAUUCAUUGUUCAUGCAUUGAUCUAGACGGUAGUCAAGAGA